GGAUGGUGAUGGUGAUGAUGAUAUGGUUGAUGAUGAGGAGAAGGAUGAUGAUGAAGACUGCCAAGGGAAUGCAAUGCAUAAUCAAGCUUAAUCAUAUAUCUAAUUAAUUUCAUCUUUCUUAUCAUGCACCAGAGGAUUUGUUUUUUGAAUGGAGGAAUAUGCAGUGCAGUGCAGGGAGCUCUCUUAUAUUUUAACAUAUUAUAAUAUAAUAUUUGUUUGAGGCUUAAUUCCAAUCAGUCCCUUCACUACCAACCAAGCCUUCCUACUUUUUCUUAGUUUUUGAAAUGAAUAAUUAAUAAAUAGAUGAGCAUCAUUGUAUGUAAAAAAACAAAAUCGAAGAUAUACACUAUAUUUCUAGUAGUGUAAGAAGAAGAGAAACCUGAAGAGGAAUAUAUUGGCUUCUUCCCAAGAGUCUAAUAGCAUUCAAGUACCCACUCUUAACUGUGUAUCCCUAAGAAGUUGUAAUGCCAAAUCAGUCUGUCUUGAGAGCUUCAUCACACGAAAAAUAGGUCCUUAAGAACUUUGUUCCAAUCCCCAUUAAGAAGCUUAAGAUCACUAACCAUGGCAACAUGCGGUUGCGGUUGGGGGCAAAAUGAAUAAGAGAUACCCGCAUACUUGAUAUUCACAUUAGAACCAUCCCCAACUCUACUCUACCCCAAGGGAAAAGAGCUUCUAGACGUAUCUUCCAAAUAUUUAU